AUUGAACGCUGGCGGCGUGCCUAAUACAUGCAAGUCGAACGCAGUGGGGACGGGUGAGUAACACGUGGGUAACCUCCCAUCAGAGGGGAUAACACUUGGAAAAAGGUGCUAAACCGAUACUGAUGGAUGGACCCGCGGUGCAUUAGCUAGUUGGUGAGGUAACGGCUCACCAAGGCCACGAUGCAUAGCGCACCUGCGAGGGUGUUCGGCCACACUGGGACGGCGCCACGGCCCAGACUCCUACGUGCGGCAGCAGUAGGUAAUCUUCGGCAAUGGACGAAAGUCUGACCGAGCAACGCCGCUUGAGUGAAGAAGGUUUUCGGAUCGUAAAACUCUGUUGUUAGAGAAGCGUUAUCUAACCAGAAAGCCACGGCUAACUACGUGCCAGCAGCCGCGGUAAUUC
rnacentral:rRNA from 1 species